UGGGGAAUAUUGCACAAUGGGCGCAAGCCUGAUGCAGCCAUGCCGCGUGUGUGAAGAAGGCCUUCGGGUUGUAAAGCACUUUCAGCGAGGAGGAAGGUGGUGGACUUAAUACGUUCAUCAAUUGACGUUACUCGCAGAAGAAGCACCGGCUAACUCCGUGCCAGCAGCCGCGGUAAUACGGAGGGUGCAAGCGUUAAUCGGAAUUACUGGGCGUAAAGCGCACGCAGGCGGUUUGUUAAGUCAGAUGUGAAAUCCCCGGGCUCAACCUGGGAACUGCAUUUGAAACUGGCAAGCUAGAGUCUCGUAGAGGGGGGUAGAAUUCCAGGUGUAGCGGUGAAAUGCGUAGAGAUCUGGAGGAAUACCGGUGGCGAAGGCGGCCCCCUGGACGAAGACUGACGCUCAGGCUGCGAAAGGCGUGGGGGAGCAAAACAGGAUUAGAUACCCUGGUAGUCCACGCUGUAAACGAUGUCGAUUUUGGAGGUUGUGCCCCUUGAGGCGUGGNUUCCGGAGCUAACGCGUUAAAUCGACCGCCUGGGGAGUACGGCCNCAAGGUUAAAAC
rnacentral:rRNA from 1 species